rnacentral:rRNA from 1 species
CCUACGGGGCGCACCAGUAGGGAAUCUUCGGCAAUGGACGAAAGUCUGACCGAGCAACGCCGCGUGAGUGAAGAAGGUUUUCGGAUCGUAAAACUCUGUUGUUAGAGAAGAACAAGUAGGAGAGUAACUGCUCUUACCUUGACGGUAUCUAACCAGAAAGCCACCGCUAACUACGUGCCAGCAGCCGCGGUAAUACGUAGGUGGCAAGCGUUGUCCGGAUUUAUUGGGCGUAAAGCGAGCGCAGGCGGUCUUUUAAGUCUGAUGUGAAAGCCCUCGGCUCAACCGAGGAAGGUCAUUGGAAACUGGAGGACUUGAGUGCGGAAGAGGAGAGUGGAAUUCCACGUGUAGCGGUGAAAUGCGUAGGUAUAUGGAGGAACACCAGUGGCGAAGGCGACUCUCUGGUCUGUAACUGACGCUGAGGCUCGAAAGCGUGGGGAGCUAACAGGAUUAGAUACCCGGGUAGUC